GGGAAGGUGGCCCAUGUCCUUCUGGCUGGCUCUCUGCAGUGUGGACUUUCUUGCAGUGUGGGGUGUGAGCUUAUAGAGUUGCCUGUGGAAAUGUUGAAUGUGUGGAUUUGCAGGAGUCCUGUGGCCGGUGCUUCCAGUUUCACAACUAUCAGGAAGGUUGGCUUGCUGUCCUUGUAUCCCAUAGCGGUCUGUUCUCUGGGGCUGAUGUCUGGGUUCCAGGGCAGAUCAGCACAGGAUCUUGGCUCGUGACUGAGGUAGACUCUGCCCUUAGCCUUAGAGCUGCACGUGUGUAGGGGACCAUGUUGGAGAAAGCCUUUCCUGAAAUUACCAAGAAAAAGUUAUUUCUCCCUGUUCAGAGGUAGAUCAGCUGCCAGAGCCUUCUGAACCUGCCAAGGACCAUGAUUGGCUGAGAUCAACUCAGGACUCAUCUUCUUGGUGCUGGAGAGGAAGUCACCCUGAGGAUGUACACACAUGGAGAAGGAACUGUGAGCAAUUGGGACUUUGCCAGUAAUAACUGCUGAGGCAAGAAUGGCUGAUGGAUUGUGUAUGGCAGGAUAGGAAGAGCUGUGCUGACAGUAAACCUUGCUACCCGAGUGGCUUAGCACAGCACAUUAAUUCCACAUACAGAGUCUGAGGAAUGCUAGGUAGAAUCUGUUACCCAGCUGGUGACUGGGGCUCUUGCUCCUCUUGGUCCUGCUCUUUGUGAAUCUCCCAGGUCUCCUGUGGCCUCUCAGGUCUCCAUAUGACCUCCCAGGUCUCAUGUGACUUCUUGGGUCUCCAUGUGACUUCUUUGGUCUCCAUGUAUGUGGUCUUCAAGUUCUCCAUAGCAAUGGUAGAAUAUUUAGUUUAUUUUAACAGAUUAUUUCCUUUUAUAUUUUGUAUCUGUGUCUGCCUGUGUGUGUCUGUGGUGACCAUGUCCACAUGAGUGCAGGUGCCCGUGCAUUCAUGGAGGCCAGCAGAGGGCAUAGGAUCCCCUAGAGCUGCUGUGGUAGGAGGCUAUGACCUGCCUGCUACAGGAGCUGAGAACAGAGCUUGGCUUCCCUGCAAGAGUAGUAUUUGCUCUUAACGACCGAGGUAUCCCUUCAGCCUGGAAUCGUAAAUUGCCCAGGAGUGACACAGUUCACGUUUGUCAUUAUGCAUCUGUUAGACAUAGUCCAGUGGCUCCAACCUAACUCAGGGGCUGAUUGUGUGGUAUUAGUGGCCACUUGAGAAUCUCUUGAACAUUGACUGUUUUUCCAUAGCAGGCAAUCAAGAUGCAGAGGCGAUAAAUAAAUCAACAAACAAGCAAGCAAAUAAGUAUAUAAAGGGGAGCUGAACCUAGGGUAACUAAAGGAUGCUGUUAGCAUUGCAAACACUUGCUGGCUGUGUGUGAGACCCUGCUUCCCAUCUUAUUGGACUCUCACUGUGUCUGCUCUGGAGAUGCAACCAUUAGCGGCUGCUCAGGAAGGGCGGGACCGCAGAAGCUCCGCCUCCACUCACAAGAACACGUUGGCGGUGCCCCAUCUUGUGCCCGUCUUAUGCAGGUAACAACUGCAACUCUGAGUUCAUGGGUCCAACAGCCAUGUCAUGUCUACACAACAGCGUUUCGGGAUGCUCUUCUUAUCUUGUAGCCGUUCCAUUUUUUUCUGCCCCCCCCCUUUUGGUGAUGUUCCCUGAGCAUUGGAAUGUGUACUAUAGAUGCCCUGAGCACUCAACAAUCUUAGCACUUAAUCAGCUUCGAGCCUUUGCAUUAACUCUCAUCCCAUGUCAAAGGAUCUGAUCAGGGCGAGAACAGCAUUUGUCUGAUUGGGGGUCUCCUCCCGUCUCUCUGCAGUGUUCCUAAAUGUACCAGGCUUUUUCUUUUGCGCCACCAACCAGCUCCCAAAUCAUGCCAUGGAGACUGUUUAUUAUUUAUAAAGGCUGGGCCUGGCUCAGGAUAGCUAUUUGAACAGAAAGUGAUAUGGCUGGGCAGAGAGAGGAAUAUAAGGUGGGUGGAGACAGGAACUCCCCCACCUCCUUUCGGUCUGAGAAGCUGUUGAGGUAAGAAGUGGCUGUGGCUGUCUCCUCUACUUCUCUGAUCUUUCAGCAUUUACUUUGCUAUCUUCAAGUUUUUACUUUUAGGACCUAUUAGAAUUCAAGUUACAUCUUUGACUAGUUAAAAUAAUAUUCUAAAACACCUUACCUUUCUCUGGGAGGUCCUCUGUCCUUCCAUGCCUUCCUGACACUUUUUCUUUGAGGCAGAGUCUAACUAUGUAGCCCAGGGUGGCUUUGAACCUGUGGCAAUCCUUCUGCAUUUGCCUCCCAAGUGCUGAGGUUGUGAGUGUGCUACCACACCUGAACUAACACUUCCCAGCACUGCCACCUUAGUGGAGGUGUUAAACAACCAUGAAAGGCUUGUUUAAAGAAAGAUAGAGGGGUACACUCCCCCAAACCCCCACCACCAAGUGUCUGGCUCAAUUGGGCUGGACAGGGCAUGUGACUAAGUUAUGUAAGGGACUCCUAGUUAGAGAUGGUGCUCUAAGUUCUUAGGCUUAGAAUCUCUCUCUGUGGAGGGGCCUGGGAAGGUCUUUCUUUCCACUGUGCCUGGCCAAACUCAAAGAUAAGUUAGCAGUAUAUUUCCCUCAACAGUCUACAACCAAGUUCAUGGCAGAACACAUGGGUUAAGCAAUGGUUCUUCAUUGCUUAUGUUAUCUGGCACAGGAAGAUGGCCAUGAUCAUUUUUUCUACAUGAACUCUAUUCAUUAGAGUUGAAUAAAGUAAAAUCACCCUAGUUAUGUGGUAAUAAAAGCCACGUAAGGGAUGGAAAAUACACAGAGAGUCUGCAUACUGUGUGUUGUUGUAUUUUCUUUGAAUUGUUACUGAGGAAGGAGCAACAGGUGCUAAAAGACAUUUGAUUAUAAAUGCUGCUGGAUUAACCCAACCUAUAUAUUUUGAAAAUGCCUUGAGUUCAAAAUUUAAGUCUAAGGACCUGUUACUUUGGAAAAGAGGUUCUGUUUUUGUUUCCACAGAGGAUGAAAAGCUGUGAAUUCCUUCUAGACUGAUAUGGUUUGAUCAGGCAAAUUCCCCCUGAAGCAGUGUCCCAGGUGAUCCAGCAUCCAAGAUAGCUGAGAUGAUGUAGCCUGGCAGACUAUUACAGCCAGGAUUUGCCCAGGUUUCUGGGUUUUCUCAGGAUCCUUUUGGGAUUGACAGUACCCCCAUACAGCAGGAAGUAGUUUGGAGAGAAUGAUGCCCAAAUUCCCAAAUAUAGUUUGUAAAUGUUUUCAUUUAAACACAGUUGGUUAUAAAUGGUUAAUGAUCACAGUCAAUCUCCUUCUAAAUAAAAAAGGGGAAUAUGAUAUAGAAAUGAAUACUUUGUAUUGGUAUGGAUUUUGAUUUAUUGAUACAAAUUUAAGGUCAAU
ensembl:lncRNA